UCGGAUAUGGUGUAACGGCCAACAUUGCCGCCUCUCACGCAGUGCGCGGCAGCUCGGGGUUCGAUUCCCCGUAUCCGAA
rnacentral:tRNA from 1 species